rnacentral:rRNA from 1 species
AGCGAACGUUCGCGGCGGGCCUAACACAUGCAAGUCGAACGCGAAAGGGAUUCGUCCCCGGUAGCGUGGCGUCCGGGUGAGUAACACGUAGGAAACCUUCCCUCGAGCGGGGGAUAACGUCCCGAAAGGGACGCUAAUACCGCAUAUGCCCACGUCUUCUUCGGGAGAUGAGGGGAAAGCUGGCCUCUGUAUACAAGCUAGCACUCGAGAAUGGUCCUGCGGCGCAUCAGCUAGUUGGUGGGGUAACGCCUACCAAGGCGAAGACGCGUAGCUGGUCUGAGAGGAUGAUCAGCCACACUGGCACUGAAACACGGGCCAGACUCCUACGGGAGGCAGCAGUGGGGAAUAUUGGACAAUGGGCGCAAGCCUGAUCCAGCCACGCCGCGUGAGUGAUGAAGGCCUC